rnacentral:rRNA from 1 species
CAGCAGCCGCGGUAAUACGGAGGGCGCUAGCGUUGUCUGGAUUCACUGGGCGUAAAGCGGGUGUAGGCGGUCGGGUAAGUCGGACGUGAAAGCCCGGGGCUCAAACCCGGAAGGGCGUCCGAAACUGCUCGACUUGAGGGCGGGAGAGGGAGGUGGAAUUCCUGGUGUAGCGGUGAAAUGCGUAGAUAUCAGGAGGAACACCAGUGGCGAAGGCGGCUUCCUGGCCUGUAACUGACGCUGAGGCACGAAAGCGUGGGGAGCAAACAGGAUUAGAUACCCUGGUAGUCCACGCUGUAAACGAUGGAUACUAGGUGGAGGGGGCGAUUUAGCCUUCUGUGCCGAAGUUAACGCAAUAAGUAUCCCGCCUGGGGAGUACGGCCGCAAGGUUGAAACUUAAAGGAAUUGGCGGG